rnacentral:rRNA from 1 species
CAGCAGCCGCGGUAAUACGGAGGGGGCUAGCGUUGUUCGGAUUUACUGGGCGUAAAGGGCGCGUAGGUGGUUAUUUAAGUGAGAUGUGAAAGCCCCGGGCUUAACCUGGGAACUGCAUCUUAUACUGGGUAACUGGAGUGCAGUAGAGGGUAGUGGAAUUUCCGGUGUAGCGGUGAAAUGCGUAGAUAUCGGAAGGAACACCAGUGGCGAAGGCGGCUACCUGGACUGAGACUGACACUGAGGCGCGAGAGCGUGGGGAGCAAACAGGAUUAGAUACCCCCGUAGUCCCUGUCUCUUAUAC